ensembl:lncRNA
GGGAGGUCUGGAGGCGGCGCUGCUAUUGGACACUUGACAGUAUAGUGUAUAUGGCGAGGCUCUGGUUAGCACACGGGCCUGUGACGGCCUCAGACAGGCUCACAUCUGACAUGAGCUUGUUGAUGUUGUGGCAGCUGUUGAUCUCACUUACGUGUUUUCGUUCAAUUCAAGCCGCUUCUCUGCAUUUCCUGGCUGCUCACGGAUCCCGUUGCCUCACCCUGACACUAAAAUUAGCGCCGCAGCUCUGGAUCUUUUAACGUAUGAUGUAAAAAUAGCAGCGAGGGAAGUCUGACCACCACACAGCAGAUAUCCAGAGCAGACGGAGUGUAAGGCGUUUAACUUAACGUUAACUGUUACUGGUCACAGCAGGGAAUGUAAACAGACAAACAGACUUUAAGAGGGAAAGAGACAGAAAGACAUCAGCGUGACGCCUGUUGCGUCAUCGUUUGACCAGUUGGUCUUCAACAAGAGAUCGACUGCACUCAAGACGGAACCAAAACCAGAUUAAUAAUAUUAUCCAUCUUGUUUUGUAGGCAACAGGAUGUUGUCAAAAAAGGAUUCGAAGAGAACUUUCAGCAACGGGUCGCUCAGAGACCAAUGGGAGCAGAAGGCUCAGAGCGUGGCCGACCAGUGCAAACAGGAGGCCGAAUGGAAGAAGAAAAGUUCCCACAAAAUAUCUUUCUCAAAAGUGGAAUUAUCACUGGUCACUUGUUUCCAAUGGAGACUUCAAGAAGCUCACCAGCGGAGCAGAUGAAGAGGAAAACAAGCCAAAAAUUAAAUUCAAAGUAGUCCCCCCUCCUCCCAAACCCAGACAUGAGCCCGCUCCCCCUCCUCCCCCCAAGAAAGCAGCUUCGCCCAAACUUCAUAGGCCAAAACGUAAAGUUGAAGUGGAUGUAUUUAAGCUCUGCUGGAAAGACUCCUGGAUGAGCCUGAAGCCACCAAAGUAUCUCUACCUGAAGGCCAAAGAGAUAAAAACCCAAAUCCCAGGGUUCACAACCAUAGAACUGACUAACAACAGGGAAUACAAACCAAAGGAAUACGGACUGGAGGACCAAUGGGCGUCUCCUGCUGAUGAAUGGCGUGACUCCUGGAAACAGGUGAGGAGUCCUGCCCAGCUGGAGCGCUCGGAGGAGAAACAAUCCCAGUCGAACAUUUUAUUUGAAAGAAUGAUGAAUUGCCAAACUGAGAUAGAAGUGUUUUCUCUUCCUGUCUGGGCCGGUACUUGGAAGAUGAUGAACUUUGCCUUCAGACAGGAAAAGAAGAAUUGGGAUCGUAUCUGGCCUGAAUAUCAACAAAUCUGCAGCAACAAGUUUGACCAAGUACAACAACUAGAGGAGCAGGAAGAGCCUUCGGACUGGGAGGGUUCAUGGAAGAUGUCGGGUAUUCAGCCUGAAACCAAAGACAUCGAGGAGCCAACCGCAAGCGCGAAAACCAUGGUGAUGACGAGGAUAAGCAACGUGUUCAUGCCCGGGUGGAGCGACUCCUGGCUACUCUCCGCUGCUCCUCCCGAGGAAGAAGAAGAACGCCGCAAAAACUGGAGCUCCUGCUGGGGAUUCAGGCAGCAGACCAGGUGGUGCCAGUCUUCGCUGCAGUCCCAUCAUGAACACAGCGCCAUGCUGACUAAGAGACGUGAAGACAAAAACCUCCUCCUCACGUCCCAGCUGGACGAGGAGAUCAUGGACAGCACAGAGUGGACGGAGGCCUGGAGGACUCCUAAAGGAUGGAUCAAACCAGAGGAGGACAAAAUGGACGAGAGGAUGAGUGACACAGACGGACAGGAGGAGGACGAAGGAGUGGAAUAUGAGGAGGAUGUAGAAGGAGAUGGGGAGAUGCAGGAAGAGGUGCAGGAGGAAGAAGAG